UGGAGGAAUAUUAAAUUUAAACCUUUUAGUUUUCAAAAUCCUUGUUAUAAAGAUGUGUCUAUGUGGAUUCUAAAUGAAUUUUCUGAAAGUGAACUAUAUGACUUAGUCCGUUUUUGCGCGGGAGACUUGGUAGAGUUUGUUCAACAGAUUGAUGAGUUUACGGAUCCAAAGAGUGGAAGGAAGAGCAAGUGCCUCUAAUUACUUUUUUU